AGGGAGUUUGAUCCUGGCUCAGGAUGAACGCUAGCGGCAGGCCUAAUACAUGCAAGUCGUACGGGAGGGGUCCCUUCGGGGGCCCUGAGAGUGGCGCACGGGUGCGCAACGCGUAUGCAACCAACCCCCGACUGGCGGAUAGCCGGUGGAAACGCCGGAUAAUACGCCAUGGUCCCGGAGGAGGGCAUCCUCUUUCGGGUAAAGCAGCGAUGCGGUCGGGGACGGGCAUGCGUGCCAUUAGCUGGUCGGCGGGGCGACGGCCCACCGAGGCUACGAUGGCUAGGGGAUCUGAGAGGACGGUCCCCCACACUGGUACUGAGACACGGACCAGACUCCUGCGGGAGGCAGCAGUAAGGGAUAUUGGGCAAUGGGGGGAACCCUGACCCAGCCAUGCCGCGUGAGGGAAUGAGGCCCUACGGGUCGUGAACCUCUUUUAUUCGGGGACAAUGGCGGCGUCGCGAACGCCGCUUGAGGGUACCGAAGGAAUAAGCGUCGGCUAACUCCGUGCCAGCAGCCGCGGUAAUACGGAGGACGCGAGCGUUAUCCGGAUUCAUUGGGUUUAAAGGGUGCGCAGGCGGCCUUGCAAGUCAGCGGUGAAAGCCCGGGGCCCAACCCCGGAAGUGCCGUUGAUACUGUAGGGCUCGAAUGCGGUCGAGGCGGGCGGAACGUGGCGUGUAGCGGUGAAAUGCGUAGAUAUGCCACAGAACGCCGAUAGCGAAGGCAGCUCGCCAGGCCUGCAUUGACGCUCGGGCACGAAAGCGUGGGGAUCGAACAGGAUUAGAUACCCUGGUAGUCCCCU
rnacentral:rRNA from 1 species